UCCUUAAUAUUCUGAGUGUACUGUGUCCAACACUCCCUAUCAAGGCAUUAAUAGAUAUCUCCAAUGUUCCAUCAUUUCUUUUUCUUCAGUUGCAACUUCCUUUUCCUCUAUUAUUUCUUCUUCCAUGGAAUUAAAAUAUUUAACCUUGCAUUGAUGGCCAGGAGUAAACUUUUCUCCAUACCUAAAACUGAGGUCGUUGGCUCUUCUAUAAUCCAAAAAAGCUUUUCCGUUUUGGGAACUGACUUGGUUUGAUUUCUAAGGUUGGGACAAGUCCUUUGAGUAAAGGUUAGGGUGAGGGUUUGGUUGAAUUUGGUAAUCAAUCUGUACUGACAUUUCAUGCAAUUUAGCUUGCCUGGCAGCAGUACCAGCAGUAGCUAAAGAAGAAGGCUUAUUGGCCUUAACCCUGUGUUUAAUUUCUUCCUUCAAUCUACUGAUGAAGCUGGAUACAAUAUAAUUUUCUUGCAUAAAUGAUCUUAAUUCUUAAAACUUCUCCUGGUAAUAUUCUACAAUACUCUGUUGAACUAACUUGUUGAAUUCCUCAACUACAUCUGCACAGGUCCUAUCACAAAAUCUCUGACAAAGAUCUACAACAAAUUCAGGCCAAGUAGUUCGAUGCUUUUGCAAAAUAUAGCCAUCUUACCAAGUCUCUGCCUUUCCCACCAAAUACAUGGAAGCAAUAUCAACCUUCAGAUCCUCAGCUACAGAAAACAUUGAGAAAUAUCUUUGACAUUUCUUGACCCACCCCAAGGAUUUGGGUUCAUAUUGGGAAUUUAGUUUGGUUCCCCAAGUUGGAAGGUGUAUUGGAGGAGGAUUCUUCACCCUUUUUGGUCAAUGACUCCAAUAUUCUACUAAUAUAUCUCUGUGUUUCUACAAAUGUGGCAUCGAUACUACUUUUUUGCUCUUCCCACCACUUAGGAAUUUUGGUUUCAUCUUGCAGGCUUUCUAAUUGUUCCUGCACCAUUGUAUUUGCUCAUGCAACUGUGUGAAUCUAGUGCCCUCGGCUCCCACCAUAGUGUUCACAUUUUUUUGCUUUCCUAACUCGACUAGUGAAUCUUUGUAGGCUCUGGUUGUCAUAACCUUGGCAGUGACAAGAAUUUUAUAAAAGAAAUGGAGAAGAAGAAGAAGAAGAAGAUUGAUAAUUUCAUUCAUAAGGAAGAUUAAUCAUAACAUACGUACUAACAUUUCUUUGUUAGUACCUCAUGAUGGUGCCAUGUGUGACUUGUUGUGGUCGGAUCCAGAAGAUGUCGUCGAUGGUUGGGCUUUGAGUCUGCGUGGUGCAGAUUUCCCCUUCGGUAGCACCAACAUUUUUUUGUUCAACCACACCAACAACAUCGACUGUAUAUGUCGUGCCCAUCAGUUGGUCAUGGAAGGGUACAAAUAGAUGUUGAAUAACCAAAUAGUCACCAUCUGGUCAGCUCCCAAUUACCGCUACAGGUAAAUGAUUUUUUUGUCUUUCCUUGUGCCUAUUAGUGGUUGGUUGGUUCAUGGUGGUGAUGAUGCAAAUAUGGUAUAACGUUGCUGCAACUUUGGAGGUGGAUGAGAAUCUCAACAAGCAAUUUCGGGUGUUUAAAGCAGCACCACCUGAGGAAAUGUGUUACAAUAUGAAGUUUGGUCUACGUUUUAGUGGUAUCACAUAUUUAUUUUCGUUCUCAACGUUUA